UACGGGGGGGGCAAGCGUUGUUCGGAAUUACUGGGCGUAAAGGGCUCGUAGGCGGCCAACUAAGUCGGACGUGAAAUCCCUCGGCUUAACCGGGGAACUGCGUCCGAUACUGGAUGGCUUGAGUUUGGGAGAGGGAUGCAGAAUUCCCAGUGUAGUGGUGAAAUACGUAGAGAUUGGGAAGAACACCAGUGGCGAAGGCGGCUAUCUGGACGGUUUCUGACGCUAAGACGCGAAAGCGUGGGGAGCAAACAGG
rnacentral:rRNA from 1 species